rnacentral:rRNA from 1 species
UGGCCUUGACAUGCUCAGAACUUUCCAGAGAUGGAUUGGUGCCUUCGGGAACUCAGAGAC